UACCAUGUGCGCAAGUCCCUUUAUGUGAGGGUCUUACAUUUGGAAAAAUUCUCGACAAAAUCAGGGAUAAAAGGCCGACCAGAAUGGCUUGAAAGGUGGGAAACAGUGAAAGAAGUAAAAGGAGAGACACGAUACGAGGAAGACGAAUCUUCUCACGAGAAGGCAAAAGAAAUGAUAAUCGGUGAGUCGUGAAGAUUCCAAUUCCUAAGGCCAAGGAUAUGACAAGACGGAAAACAGAUAUGAAGGCGAUCUCUUAAUUCGGUUGCACAAGACUUCAUAAUUAACCCGAAUUUCAACCCGGAGCCGAAAGGACUUAUGUAUAAAACAUACGAGGAGAAGAGCCGAGGAAGGACGCGCGGCACCUCGCCGUUUGCCGUUUGCCCUCUUAAGAAUUUUGAAUCGAACUUUCAAAGCUGUUGCAUGCUCGGGCAACGCCGACGAAGAGAAUAGCAAUCAAUCAGCAAGAAUCUCGGGAUGGGUGUCGCAACGGAAACAACAAAUAGUACUCGCCGAAAAGGCAGUGCCGAAUAAGAAAUAAUAACUA